GGGUUGUGAGGUUAAGCGACUAAGCGUACACGGUGGAUGCCCUGGCAGUCAGAGGCGAUGAAGGGCGUGCUAAUCUGCGAUAAGCGCCGGUAAGGUGAUAUGAACCGUUAUAACCGGCGAUACCCGAAUGGGGAAACCCAGUGUGAUUCGUCACACUAUCAUUAACUGAAUCCAUAGGUUAAUGAGGCGAACCGGGGGAACUGAAACAUCUAAGUACCCCGAGGAAAAGAAAUCAACCGAGAUUCCCCCAGUAGCGGCGAGCGAACGGGGAGGAGCCCAGAGCCUGAAUCAGCAUGUGUGUUAGUGGAAGCGUCUGGAAAGGCGCGCGAUACAGGGUGACAGCCCCGUACACAAAAGCGCAUGUGCUGUGAGCUCGAUGAGUAGGGCGGGACACGUGGUAUCCUGUCUGAAUAUGGGGGGACCAUCCUCCAAGGCUAAAUACUCCUGACUGACCGAUAGUGAACCAGUACCGUGAGGGAAAGGCGAAAAGAACCCCGGCGAGGGGAGUGAAAAAGAACCUGAAACCGUGUACGUACAAGCAGUGGGAGCCCCACCACUAAGCCAGUGGUGAACUCCACAUACGCAUCCUUUGCUGAGGAUACGGUUAACGGAGCGAAAGCGACGUUCAACCGCAAAAGAAGCAGAGGGGGCUUAGUGGUGGGGUGACUGCGUACCUUUUGUAUAAUGGGUCAGCGACUUAUAUUCUGUAGCAAGGUUAACCGAAUAGGGGAGCCGCAGGGAAACCGAGUCUUAAUUGGGCGUUAAGUUGCAGGGUAUAGACCCGAAACCCGGUGAUCUAGCCAUGGGCAGGUUGAAGGUUGGGUAACACUAACUGGAGGACCGAACCGACUAAUGUUGAAAAAUUAGCGGAUGACCUGUGGCUGGGGGUGAAAGGCCAAUCAAACCGGGAGAUAGCUGGUUCUCCCCGAAAGCUAUUUAGGUAGCGCCUCGUGAAUUCAUCUCCGGGGGUAGAGCACUGUUUCGGCUAGGGGGCCAUCCCGGCUUACCAACCCGAUGCAAACUGCGAAUACCGGAGAAUGUUAUCACGGGAGACACACGGCGGGUGCUAACGUCCGUCGUGAAGAGGGAAACAACCCAGACCGCCAGCUAAGGUCCCAAAGUCAUGGUUAAGUGGGAAACGAUGUGGGAAGGCCCAGACAGCCAGGAUGUUGGCUUAGAAGCAGCCAUCAUUUAAAGAAAGCGUAAUAGCUCACUGGUCGAGUCGGCCUGCGCGGAAGAUGUAACGGGGCUAAACCAUGCACCGAAGCUGCGGCAGCGACACUGUGUGUUGUUGGGUAGGGGAGCGUUCUGUAAGCCUGCGAAGGUGGCCUGUGAGGGUUGCUGGAGGUAUCAGAAGUGCGAAUGCUGACAUAAGUAACGAUAAAGCGGGUGAAAAGCCCGCUCGCCGGAAGACCAAGGGUUCCUGUCCAACGUUAAUCGGGGCAGGGUGAGUCGACCCCUAAGGCGAGGCCGAAAGGCGUAGUCGAUGGGAAACGGGUUAAUAUUCCCGUACUUGGUGUUACUGCGAAGGGGGGACGGAGAAGGCUAUGUUGGCCGGGCGACGGUUGUCCCGGUUUAAGCGUGUAGGUGUGUGUUCCAGGUAAAUCCGGUUCACUUUAACACUGAGGCGUGAUGACGAGGCACUACGGUGCUGAAGCAACAAAUGCCCUGCUUCCAGGAAAAGCCUCUAAGCAUCAGGUAACAUCAAAUCGUACCCCAAACCGACACAGGUGGUCAGGUAGAGAAUACCAAGGCGCUUGAGAGAACUCGGGUGAAGGAACUAGGCAAAAUGGUGCCGUAACUUCGGGAGAAGGCACGCUGACAUGUAGGUGAAGUGAUUUACUCAUGGAGCUGAAGUCAGUCGAAGAUACCAGCUGGCUGCAACUGUUUAUUAAAAACACAGCACUGUGCAAACACGAAAGUGGACGUAUACGGUGUGACGCCUGCCCGGUGCCGGAAGGUUAAUUGAUGGGGUCAGCGCAAGCGAAGCUCCUGAUCGAAGCCCCGGUAAACGGCGGCCGUAACUAUAACGGUCCUAAGGUAGCGAAAUUCCUUGUCGGGUAAGUUCCGACCUGCACGAAUGGCGUAAUGAUGGCCAGGCUGUCUCCACCCGAGACUCAGUGAAAUUGAACUCGCUGUGAAGAUGCAGUGUACCCGCGGCAAGACGGAAAGACCCCGUGAACCUUUACUAUAGCUUGACACUGAACAUUGAGCCUUGAUGUGUAGGAUAGGUGGGAGGCUUUGAAGUGUGGACGCCAGUCUGCAUGGAGCCGACCUUGAAAUACCACCCUUUAAUGUUUGAUGUUCUAACGUGGACCCGUGAUCCGGGUUGCGGACAGUGUCUGGUGGGUAGUUUGACUGGGGCGGUCUCCUCCUAAAGAGUAACGGAGGAGCACGAAGGUUGGCUAAUCCUGGUCGGACAUCAGGAGGUUAGUGCAAUGGCAUAAGCCAGCUUGACUGCGAGCGUGACGGCGCGAGCAGGUGCGAAAGCAGGUCAUAGUGAUCCGGUGGUUCUGAAUGGAAGGGCCAUCGCUCAACGGAUAAAAGGUACUCCGGGGAUAACAGGCUGAUACCGCCCAAGAGUUCAUAUCGACGGCGGUGUUUGGCACCUCGAUGUCGGCUCAUCACAUCCUGGGGCUGAAGUAGGUCCCAAGGGUAUGGCUGUUCGCCAUUUAAAGUGGUACGCGAGCUGGGUUUAGAACGUCGUGAGACAGUUCGGUCCCUAUCUGCCGUGGGCGCUGGAGAACUGAGGGGGGCUGCUCCUAGUACGAGAGGACCGGAGUGGACGCAUCACUGGUGUUCGGGUUGUCAUGCCAAUGGCACUGCCCGGUAGCUAAAUGCGGAAGAGAUAAGUGCUGAAAGCAUCUAAGCACGAAACUUGCCCCGAGAUGAGUUCUCCCUGAGACUUAGAGUCUCCUGAAGGAACGUUGAAGACGACGACGUUGAUAGGCCGGGUGUGUAAGCGCAGCGAUGCGUUGAGCUAACCGGUACUAAUGAACCGUGAGGCUUAACCUUACAACGCCGAAG
rnacentral:rRNA from 1 species